rnacentral:rRNA from 1 species
GACGAACGCUGGCGGCGUGCUUAACACAUGCAAGUCGAACGGAAAGGCCCUGCUUUUGUGGGGUGCUCGAGUGGCGAACGGGUGAGUAACACGUGAGUAACCUGCCCUUGACUUUGGGAUAACUUCAGGAAACUGGGGCUAAUACCGGAUAGGAGCUCCUGCUGCAUGGUGGGGGUUGGAAAGUUUCGGCGGUUGGGGAUGGACUCGCGGCUUAUCAGCUUGUUGGUGGGGUAGUGGCUUACCGAGGCUUUGACGGGUAGCCGGCCUGAGAGGGUGACCGGGCACAAUGGGACUGAGAUACGGACCAGACUCCUACGGGAGGCAGCAGGGGGGAAUAUUGCACAAUGGGCGGAAGCCUGAUGCAGCAACGCCGCGUGCGGGAUGACGGCCUUUGGGUUGUAAACCGCUUUCGCCUGUGACGAAGCGUGAGUGACGGUAAUGGGUAAAGAAGCACCGGCUAACUACGUG